UUUUAUGUUCCGCAGGUUCUCCUCAUCCUGACUGCCCUACAGCCCUCCAUCUUCUCAGUCUUGGCCAACGGCGGGCAGAUUGCUUGUUCGCCUCCCUAUUCCUCUAAAACCAGGUCUCAAGUGAUGAAUUGCCACCUCCUCAUACUGGAGACUUUUCUAAUGACUGUGCUGACACGAAUGUACUACCGAAGGAAAGACCACAAGGUUGGCUAUGAAACUUUCUCUUCUCCAGACAUGGACUGGAACCUCAAAACCUAAGGUGGAUGGCUGGGACAAUGAAAGGAUGCUGUACUCAUUAGAAUACAAGAUUCCUUUACUGUCCCUCAACGUUGACCAAAUGGGAAGCAUUCCCCCUUGUCAACACAAGCUGGCAGAUACAUUUGACUUUACAGAUGAAGGUGAACAAUGUUAGGAUAAAAUUGCUUUGGAUCUUGCCUGGAAGGUGUUUUAAGUUUUGUAAUAAACAAGAUGACGUCUGAAAA
rnacentral:sRNA from 1 species